CCCAGAGUGGCUGGGGGGGGGGCGGGGCCACUGCGUAGUAUUUGGUCCUGGUUGAAAUUUGAUUCAGAAGUUGAGAGGACUGCAGGACCCAAAGCGAGCGAGGGGGGGGAGAGACACACACACACACACACACGCACACACACACACACACAGGUCGACCGGACGCUAUUUUACUGCAAUAAUAAAAGAAGCAAAGACGGACCCAGCCAUCGCUACAGUCUGAGAGGCUGGCUUCUCACAUCGACACAUCCUCUACUUUGUCUGUGUAGCCUCAAGGCAUAUUACCGUUCGACCAUGAGCUCCACGGGGCGUCCGGCCGCUCACCCGCAGGACGGGGCAGAGAUCGACAGCGUCAAGGAGUCCAUCAGUGACAUCAUCAACCAGCUGCAGGACAUCGACCCGGCGCGGCUCUCCUUCUCCCCAUUCCUGGACCUGGACACCCAGAUCUCGCUGGCGCCCGUGUCGGACAGCCCCGAGUCCUCGGUGGAGGAGCUCCACUCCUCACCCCACUCCGUGACCGGGUCGCAGCGGUCACUGGAACCCGGGACGGGACCCUCAGCCGAUACGCACAGAGACGACGACAGCCGGCCAGACGACAGCGGGACGACGCGUCGGGAACAGGGAGUACCAGAGGGGGGGGGGGGUCUUUCCAGCGCCGUUGCCACGACGGCGCACACUUUGGAAGACGCCUCGAAAACCUCGUCGUCGCUCCCUCCCCUCCCCCCCCC
ensembl:lncRNA